CACGUAGGGGGCGAGCGUUGUCCGGAAUUAUUGGGCGUAAAGAGCUCGUAGGCGGUCUGUCGCGUCCGUUGUGAAAACUCGAGGCUCAACCUCGAGACGUCGGCGGAAACCAUCUGGCUAGAGUCCGGAAGAGGAGAGUGGAAUUCCUGGUGUAGCGGUGAAAUGCGCAGAUAUCAGGAAGAACACCCGUGGCGAAGGCGGCUCUCUGGGACGGUACUGACGCUGAGACGCGAAAGCGUGGGGAGCGAACAGG
rnacentral:rRNA from 1 species